AGAUACAGAAUAUGGAUUUAGAAUGCGAAGUCUCUAAGUCAAGGGAAAGGUCUAGGUCGAACAGUGGUGCCCUUCAACAAGUAAUACCCUGCAUCUCAGCCAAAGAAUCUAUCAGUGAAUCCAUGGAUGGAUGCAUGAGGGAUCAGACAGCCCCUGUCCCACUAUGUCUGGCUCUAUGGAAAUGUGGGACUGGUGACACCCUCCUUCUCACAGUAUUAUAAGUAAAUGCAGCAGAGAGUCCACUCUUGAAGCUUGUGACUGGGAGGAAGAAAGCAUGGAGAGGAAGUAUGCAUUCAGAUCCACAGAGGAAAAUGGUAACCUUUGAAGUCUUCCCACAAAUCCCUAACCUAGGCCUAAGGCCAGAAGAGUUCUAUAUCAGAACGUUUUGGGAAUCGUCUUCAAAACCGGAAUCCAUUUGGCCAAUAAAGAGUCUAUUUGAAUUACAAA
rnacentral:sRNA from 1 species